AGCGAACGCUGGCGGCAGGCCUAACACAUGCAAGUCGAACGAACUCUUCGGAGUUAGUGGCGGACGGGUGAGUAACACGUGGGAACGUGCCUUUUGGUUCGGAAUAACUCAGGGAAACUUGUGCUAAUACCGAAUGUGCCCUUCGGGGGAAAGAUUUAUCGCCAUUAGAGCGGCCCGCGUCUGAUUAGCUAGUUGGUGAGGUAACGGCUCACCAAGGCGACGAUCAGUAGCUGGUCUGAGAGGAUGACCAGCCACACUGGGACUGAGACACGGCCCAGACUCCUACGGGAGGCAGCAGUGGGGAAUCUUGCGCAAUGGGCGAAAGCCUGACGCAGCCAGGCCGCGUGAAUGAUGAAGGUCUUAGGAUUGGAAAAUUCUUUCACCGGGGACGAUAAUGACGGUACCCGGAGAAGAAGCCCCCGGCUAACUUCGUG
rnacentral:rRNA from 1 species